AGUAACAGGUGUGCUAAUUAUCUAUCACCGUGUGUAUUUAGCGUGAAACUACGGUUGUCGAUAAAAACUGGAGGAUGAAAUAAAGACGGAAAGACGAUGGAAAACAGAAGAAUGAAUCACCGGGACUCCUAAGGUGUCUGCAGGCGGACUGAGGUUUUCUUUCUCUGUGGAGGAACACGGCAGAGUCUGCAGCACAAGCUGGAGAAGUAUCACUGCAGAGAGUCAACGCCCUGAAGGAGGCCAAGGAGAAUGUGGAGAAGGACCACAUCCAGGAGUGGGCGGACCCUGAACAGUAGGAACCAUACAACGACAAAGCCAUUUUACUCAUCUCUUUCUUAGACCCUGAGUCAAGCGUUAAAGUCAGUCAUCAAAGACUACUUUCCUGGAAGCCCCGGGUCAGAAACUGGCCUGUGGAGUCCCAACAUUCCUGAGCUGCUGGGGACGUCAGGUAGAGACGCUU